GGCCCAGCAGGGCUUGGGGGACAGGCCUCCGAGCGGGUCAGGCUGUUGCUCACAGGCGUCGGCUUGUGCUGGGCUUGAACCAGUGCCAGGUGCUCUGGCCUCGGCAGGAAUCUGCCAUCAGCAGUGGCCUAGGAGGUACCGCCAGGCCCAGCGUGGGCCAGGAAGCCGCCCUCGCCAAGAGUGUGCCCAUGAGCAGUGGCUCCAGAGGUGGCUCCUUCCCGGGCUGGGGGUAGUGCUGGGGGCUGGCGCAGGUUGGACAUGCAACGUUGCCAAGGACUUGAUCACGGGAUCCCAUAGAGGGGGCUGAUUCCUAUAGGCUGUGUUUUCCAGGCUUCUGGGAUGACUGGUUUCCAGCUGGGUUUGGCCCAUGGGAGGCAUUGCUGGGAGACUGGAGGUUGGGAGAUGAGGAAGCUGAGGCUUGAAAAGUGGAAGGAUACUACCCUAAGUUGCCUGGAAAGAAAGCAGUGGACCUGGGAUUUAAACCUGGAUCCAGUUACUCCAAACCCUGACCUCUCUGCAACAUGAUGUAAUAAAGACCAUGUAUGUAGCAUGUGCUAAGUUCUUUGGAAGCACAGUGCAGAGAGUUAUUAAUCAGAUGGGGGAAAAAUCAGGGAAGAGUGCCUGGAAGAGAAGAUAUUUGAAUUGACUCUUGAAGGGUGAAUAAAAUAUCAACUGGUAGAAAAAGAGGAUAUUGGAAUUGAGGAGGGAAAAGAGAGAAGUAACAUAUGCUUUUAUUUGCUUGCCCCAAAGCAGUCAGUCACUGACCUCUUUCUACCUUCUAACGGAACCUUAA